rnacentral:rRNA from 1 species
UUAAGUUAGAAAGGGCGCACGGUGGAUGCCUUGACACUAGGAGUCGAUGAAGGACGGGACUAACGCCGAUAUGCUUCGGGGAGCUGUAAGUAAGCUUUGAUCCGAAGAUUUCCGAAUGGGGAAACCCACCAUACGUAAUGGUAUGGUAUCCUUAUCUGAAUACAUAGGGUAAGGAAGACAGACCCAGGGAACUGAAACAUCUAAGUACCUGGAGGAAGAGAAAGCAAAUGCGAUUUCCUGAGUAGCGGCGAGCGAAACGGAACAUAGCCCAAACCAAGAGGCUUGCCUCUUGGGGUUGUAGGACAUUCUAUACGGAGUUACAAAGGAACGAGGUAGACGAAGCGACCUGGAAAGGUCCGUCGUAGAGGGUAACAACCCCGUAGUCGAAACUUCGUUCUCUCUUGAAUGUAUCCUGAGUACGGCGGAACACGUGAAAUUCCGUCGGAAUCUGGGAGGACCAUCUCCCAAGGCUAAAUACUCCCUAGUGAUCGAUAGUGAACCAGUACCGUGAGGAAAAGGUGAAAAGCACCCCGGAAGGGGAGUGAAAGAGAUCCUGAAACCGUGUGCCUACAAAUAGUCAGAGCCCGUUAACGGGUGAUGGCGUGCCUUUUGUAGAAUGAACCGGCGAGUUACGAUCCCGUGCGAGGUUAAGCUGAAGAGGCGGAGCCGCAGCGAAAGCGAGUCUGAAUAGGGCGUUUAGUACGUGGUCGUAGACCCGAAACCAGGUGAUCUACCCAUGUCCAGGGUGAAGUUCAGGUAACACUGAAUGGAGGCCCGAACCCACGCACGUUGAAAAGUGCGGGGAUGAGGUGUGGGUAGCGGAGAAAUUCCAAUCGAACCUGGAGAUAGCUGGUUCUCCCCGAAAUAGCUUUAGGGCUAGCCUUAAGUGUAAGAGUCUUGGAGGUAGAGCACUGAUUGGACUAGGGGUCCUCAUCGGAUUACCGAAUUCAGUCAAACUCCGAAUGCCAAUGACUUAUCCUUAGGAGUCAGACUGCGAGUGAUAAGAUCCGUAGUCAAAAGGGAAACAGCCCAGACCGCCAGCUAAGGUCCCAAAGUGUGUAUUAAGUGGAAAAGGAUGUGGAGUUGCUUAGACAACUAGGAUGUUGGCUUAGAAGCAGCCACCAUUUAAAGAGUGCGUAAUAGCUCACUAGUCGAGUGACUCUGCGCCGAAAAUGUACCGGGGCUAAAUACACCACCGAAGCUGCGGAUUGAUACCAAUGGUAUCAGUGGUAGGGGAGCGUUCUAAGGACAGUGAAGUCAGACCGGAAGGACUGGUGGAGUGCUUAGAAGUGAGAAUGCCGGUAUGAGUAGCGAAAGACGGGUGAGAAUCCCGUCCACCGAAUGCCUAAGGUUUCCUGAGGAAGGCUCGUCCGCUCAGGGUUAGUCAGGACCUAAGCCGAGGCCGACAGGCGUAGGCGAUGGACAACAGGUUGAUAUUCCUGUACCACCUCUUUAUCGUUUGAGCAAUGGAGGGACGCAGAAGGAUAGAAGAAGCGUGCGAUUGGUUGUGCACGUCCAAGCAGUUAGGCUGAUAAGUAGGCAAAUCCGCUUAUCGUAAAGGCUGAGCUGUGAUGGGGAAGCUCCUUAUGGAGCGAAGUCUUUGAUUCCCCGCUGCCAAGAAAAGCUUCUAGCGAGAUAAAAGGUGCCUGUACCGCAAACCGACACAGGUAGGCGAGGAGAGAAUCCUAAGGUGUGCGAGAGAACUCUGGUUAAGGAACUCGGCAAAAUGACCCCGUAACUUCGGGAGAAGGGGUGCUUUCUUAACGGAAAGCCGCAGUGAAUAGGCCCAAGCGACUGUUUAGCAAAAACACAGCUCUCUGCGAAGCCGUAAGGCGAAGUAUAGGGGGUGACACCUGCCCGGUGCUGGAAGGUUAAGGAGAGGGGUUAGCGUAAGCGAAGCUCUGAACUGAAGCCCCAGUAAACGGCGGCCGUAACUAUAACGGUCCUAAGGUAGCGAAAUUCCUUGUCGGGUAAGUUCCGACCCGCACGAAAGGUGUAACGAUUUGGGCACUGUCUCAACCAGAGACUCGGUGAAAUUAUAGUACCUGUGAAGAUGCAGGUUACCCGCGACAGGACGGAAAGACCCCGUGGAGCUUUACUGUAGCCUGAUAUUGAAUUUUGGUACAGUUUGUACAGGAUAGGCGGGAGCCAUUGAAACCGGAGCGCUAGCUUCGGUGGAGGCGCUGGUGGGAUACCGCCCUGACUGUAUUGAAAUUCUAACCUACGGGUCUUAUCGACCCGGGAGACAGUGUCAGGUGGGCAGUUUGACUGGGGCGGUCGCCUCCUAAAGUGUAACGGAGGCGCCCAAAGGUUCCCUCAGAAUGGUUGGAAAUCAUUCGUAGAGUGCAAAGGCAUAAGGGAGCUUGACUGCGAGACCUACAAGUCGAGCAGGGACGAAAGUCGGGCUUAGUGAUCCGGUGGUUCCGCAUGGAAGGGCCAUCGCUCAACGGAUAAAAGCUACCCCGGGGAUAACAGGCUUAUCUCCCCCAAGAGUCCACAUCGACGGGGAGGUUUGGCACCUCGAUGUCGGCUCAUCGCAUCCUGGGGCUGUAGUCGGUCCCAAGGGUUGGGCUGUUCGCCCAUUAAAGCGGUACGCGAGCUGGGUUCAGAACGUCGUGAGACAGUUCGGUCCCUAUCCGUCGUGGGCGUAGGAAAUUUGAGAGGAGCUGUCCUUAGUACGAGAGGACCGGGAUGGACGCACCGCUGGUGUACCAGUUGUUCUGCCAAGGGCAUAGCUGGGUAGCUAUGUGCGGAAGGGAUAAGUGCUGAAAGCAUCUAAGCAUGAAGCCCCCCUCAAGAUGAGAUUUCCCAUAGCGUAAGCUAGUAAGAUCCCUGAAAGAUGAUCAGGUUGAUAGGUUCGAGGUGGAAGCAUGGUGACAUGUGGAGCUGACGAAUACUAAUAGAUCGAGGACUUAACCAU